rnacentral:lncRNA from 1 species
AGCAAAACCUAAAGGGAGGUGAAAAAACAACUUACCAUUAGAAGCAUUUCUCUAAUUGAAGAUCCAAGCUCCUCACGAGAGCGAGAUCGGAAGGACACUUGCUCCUUGGUAGAACUGGCUAAAAGACCAGUCAGGGCAAGAAGACGAGGAUCUGAAGCCUCUGUAAUUCCGUCGAACAUCCGCUCCCUAAGCAGUUCGGCGACAGCACUGGCCGGAGACUCGGGGGUAAUGUCCGACGCAUUCAGAACGUUCCCGGAAGGAGACAAUGAAGGCACAGCAGGAACACCUUUCUUUUUCCCAAGGGGAG